rnacentral:lncRNA from 1 species
UGGUAUCGGUAUGGGGUCAUUUUGUCACCGGUUACAAAGUUUCGCAGAGGCAAACCCGAGAGUAGAGAUAUCAACGGGUUGGAUUCGGGGCGGAUUUUUGAAAACCCGAACCCGAACCCGACUCCAAACCCGAGACCCGAACCCGAACCUGAACCCGACGGAUUUUAAACAUCCAUAUCCAAAUCCGAACCCGACCAAAAAUCCGAAACCCGAACCCGAACCCGAACCCAAACCCGAAAAUUUGAACCCGAAACAAUUAUUUCUUUUUUCAAUAUUUCAAAAUAUAUUAUAUUAAAUCUAAAUUUUUAAAAUACAAAUUCAAAUAUAACAUCAAAUUUAUAUAUAUAUAUUAUAUAUAAUACAAAAUAAAUUCGGGUUCGGGUCGGGUUCGGGUUCGGGUCGGGUACAAUCAAAAUCCAUAUCCGAAUCCAUAUCCGUCGGGUUUCUAUUUUUGAUAUCCAUAUCCGAAUCCAUAUCCAUAUCCAUCGGAUAUAUCCGUUUCAUUCGGGUUCGGGUUCGGGUUCGGAUAAAAUUUCGGGUAUCCAUACCCAUUGACAUCCCUACUCGAGAGCUACUGCUCUCGGUCUGAUGCCUGGUACCGGUACAAGGGCAGUGUUAAAUCGGUAACAACAGUCCCAGAACUUCAGUUUUGCAUCUUUUUCGAUUCUAUUUCGUGCCAAUCGACGUUAAAACCUUCCUAACUCUUUUGGAACUCAUUUUUAACCCUUCCAACAUUGUUGGAAUGUUAAUUUGAUUUUGUCCAACCUUUUCUUUCAGACACUUUAGUCAAUUUGGCUAAAGUCCGGAGUACUCUACCGAAGUUUCAGUAUAUUACAAUCACAAUUACAAGAAGGCCCCUAAACAAGGGUCAAUUAGCUAAAAUGUACAUUAAAAAGGGUUGAUAAAGCACGCUGUGCGUCUACGAGACCAAUCGAGGGCACCAGUGAAUAGGUCUCGACGCAGCGAAGCUCGUGCUCGCUGUCCCGAGCGAGAAAAAUAGCCGAGUGAUGCUUCGGGGCCAAGAUUACAACACAUAACUAAGGGCUUCGGGAGCGACAACGCAAAACCAGUGAGUCGUAAACUCUCUGGUAGAAACCGAGGUGAGCACGGUGAUCAGCGACGACUGUAGGUCACCGUGCUCUCCUUCCAACCAGUCGAGGAGUUUUAGGGUCGCUGGAACAGUAAUUAGAGCGAAAAAGGUACAAUUUUGGGCUAGGCCAGCUGUUGGCUCUAGCCCGCCAUUGGAGGCACAGCGGCGGGCGCGCGGCCUAGAGGUGAGUGUAAAGGGGGAGGGGAGUACUGUGCUCACCUUGUCCGGCGACAGGGAGCGACGGCGGUGCGUCGAGAGGAGCUCAGCCUAACCAAAACUAGGGCUCGGGCAUGGGUGGUCUUCCAGCGAUGGCAGUGGCGAGAAGGGCAAUGGGGUGGUGGCAGUGCAUCCCCCACGAUGAGAGGGAGUUGGCGGCGGCGACGCCUAGGGGCGGUGGCGCCGACACUGUGAGGAGGAACCGCCACUACUAGAAAAUAGCCCGAGAAGGCUGCAGAGCUCGUGGUGGCUCUCGACGGUGUCAGGGGUUGCUGGAGGGGGUGAUUGGAACCCUAGGAUGAGGAGAAGGAGAUCCACCAGGUGCUGCCCCCUCGAGGAUGCCCGAGCUGAGCAAGAGGAAGGAGAAAGGGGAGGAAACUUGAGAAAGAAGUGAGCGGAGAUGGUGGCUGGACUAAGGCCAGCCGGAGGAUGAUCGUCGGCGGCCGAGGAAGUUCGCAGUGCUGCCAGAGGAGGGAAGGGAGGUGGCUAGGGCUCGGGGAUGGAGAGUGGAAGGCUAGGGUUAGGAGGAGAAAACCCUAAUACCUAUUUUAUACAUAAAGGUAUAUUUGUAGAAAACCCCUGGACCCUGUCAGCCCAUAAUGCAGGUUUGGACCUUACGGGAUUCGGACCUUUUACUAUCUGAACCCUUCACAGUCUAGGACUGUUUUGUGGAAAAUACUAUUUCCCUAUUUUAGAGGGGCCUAUGUGGAUAUUGUGCAAGUGGGUUUUAAACCCACUUCACCUCCCUUUAUUACUUUCAUUUGGAGAGUGAAAGAGAAAGAGAAAUUUGAGUUUUCUUUCCUUUCUUUUGGAUUUCUUCUUCUCGAAACCCCUCUAAUCCUUGGAUUAUUCUUCUUUUCUUCGUCUCCUCUAUGUUUGCAUGCACCUAGGACCUAGAGUGGAGCUCAAGCUUGAAGAAGAGAGUGGUUUGAGGGCCCAAGCUUGAACCCUAACUUUUCUAAGGUGGGAUUAGGGUUUUGUUUGAGGUUAGUAACCUUCCUUCAUCUUCUAUUAAGAGAUUCAUGAAAGUUUUGAUAGAAAAUCUAGUUUUAUAAAAACUAGGGUUUAUUUUAGGACUUUUCAAUUGUGGGUUUUUGGAUUGAAAUUGAUGGGUGUAGAACAUUCUUUUAGGUUGGAAUUGAAGCCCCAUUGCUUUGGUUUGGAGAUUGGAUAAGUUUUUCUUGGUCUAAGGUAUUUUUCACCGAUUUUUUUCAUAUUUUUUGUAAAUUUUGUGGUGAGCUUUUCAGAAACUUGUAACCUCUUGAAAAUUUUUCUGAGGGUACAAGAAGUUUAGGGGACAACUUCAUUUGAGAAACGAUCGGACUUUCGAUAGCUUUCCGGUGGAUUUGACUUCACCGAAAUUGGUGGGCUUCCCUAUGCCUCCUAUAAUGUUUAUAGGACUUAAUUGAUACUUUAGUAUGCAAUUCAUGGAAAUUUUGAAUUUUGCAUUUUUGAACGUAUAGUUGGUCACCCCAUGCAUGAUGAGUUUCAUUCUCUAUGUAGUAGAGGCCAUGGUAAAGUGCAUGCAUGUAAAGAUACAUGAGCUAGAUUCCGUAAUAUGCAAUUCAUUUGGUUGAAGCAUAAUUGCCCUCUUGUUUGCUAUAGUUGUGUUGUUAUACAUAUGCAACACUUCAUGUAGUUGAGAUAUGAUACUUUGCAUGUUUAAGACAUGUUAGAAUAUUAUGAGUUAUGAGUAAUGUAUUUGGAAAUAAGUUGAGAGAUUGGAUUUGACAAUGUACUCAACCACUAAGUCGCUAGUUGAAAUCCCAUGUUUUAGAUAUGAUAAUUGAUAACCCUUGUCCUUUGACAUGACGUAUAUGACCACACUUUCUUUCUGUUGUGCUCAUUCGCAUAAACUUAUGAGCGUCGCUCCCUACAAGCUGGCACUUCAUAGUUUAGCCUUUUCGACAUCAUGCUUGUUGUGCGGGAUUGGGCGUCGAAGUAGGACGCUGUGGGGGAGGCUCAUUCCUAGAGGAGGAAUGUUGACUACCACAGGACCAUUAGGCAUGGCGCAAGGCGGGACUCUACCACAUGUAAGUCCCUGAUGAUUGGGUAAAAAGGAAUUAAAAACUUGACAUAAUUCAUUACAACUAUUCAUUGCAUACAUAAAGUUGGACAUACAUGUGGGUUAUUACAUACAUGUAUACAUGAUAGUAGUAGAACCUAAUCUAUGUUAAUCGGCAUAGUUACAUAGAGGCAUGAUAGUAUUGAACAAUUUCAUUCUACCUUUUGAUAUAUUAGCUUUCAUUUAGCUAUUUACUAUCUGUUGCCUCAGUUGACCUAAUAGUGUAUUGUAUACAUGAUAGUGGUAGAACCUAAUCUAUGUUAAUCGGCAUAGUUACAUAGAGGCAUGAUAGUAUUGAACAAUUUCAUUCUAUCUUUUGAUAUAUUAGCUUUCAUUUAGCUCUUUACUAUCUUUUGCCUCAAUUAACCUAGUGGUGUAUUUUGCUAUUCUCGGCGGCUUACCCACUGGGAACUAUUAUUUAAUAAUUUUCACCCCCGUUAGUUGUUUGGUUUUGUUACAGAGCCUUCCACUACGGGAGAUACUAAAGGUCACAGCAAGGGGUUAGUAACUAGCUAUAGCCUCCUCUGGUGUUGCUAUAGGUGGACCCUAGGCAUCUUUCAUUUGGUUUUAGUGGUAAAAAGUGUACUUACAUAUUUUGUAUAGAGACCACUUUGAUUUCAUAAGAUAUACCAUUUUGUUGGAAUUUAUUAUAUAUCUUGUAAAUGGUUAUUAUAGUAGAUUUGAUUUUACUUCUUAAUAUUGUGUUGCACGCUCUGAUUAUCUCAUGUAGGAUGUUUGGAUUUUUCCUUUCUCUUGCUCUUCUCGUACUGUUUGUUGUAGAUACUUCCGGGGGGUAUGGUAGGAACAUGCUCCAGUAUCGAUUCAAUAUGGGGAUCGUAGGCGGAUCAUUAACUAGCUCUCUGAUGUUGUAGUGAGUCUGUCGUAAUGCGUCCACUUGCAUUAUCGUUCUCCGCCUUAUGAAGAUAGUGAACGAUUCACCGUCUUUAUUAGGGCACUGCUCAGGCCUACAAAAGCAGACUUUUUCUCUAAAUUUUAAAACACUACAGGCGGUGAAUAGUUCACCGUCUUAUGAAGACGGUGAACCAUUGACCGUCUUAUCAAUGUUUCAGCUCCGACCCCAGGACUUAGAGAAAUUUUUGCCGGUUGGGAGGCUUUGCAUUAAAGGAGGUGAAUGGUUCACCGUCUUAGGAAAGACGGUGAACCAUUCACCAUCUUCUUAAGGACACAAACGCGGAGUUGUUUUGGGGGUGGGAUUUGCAUUAAAGGCGGUGAAUGAUUCACCGUCUUAUGAAGGCGGUGAACCAUUCACCAUCUUCACAGAACAAUUACAAAGACGGUGAACGAUUCAUCAUUUUUAUAAAAAAUUCAUGACGUGGCGCCCAUGCGGCGAAAGGAGGGUUAGUUUUCCAAAUAAAAUUUUGACAGGGUCAUUUUAUAAAAAGGCCCAAAAAAGAAAGGUUAAAACAUAAAGACACAUCCUGAUCUUCGAACCAUUUUAAAAUUGACCCCCCUCUUGAAUUUUUAUUUGAUUUAUAUCCCUCUACUUAUGAAUCGUUUGAUUUAGUUGCUUAGUAGUUUCAAAAAUGUUUUAGAAUCAAACAACUAUGAGAAAUGCCCAUGUGGGUGUUUAUUUUGAUUCUAACAAAAUAUAAAAAUUAUUAAUAGAAGGAUCGAAAUCAAACAUUUAGCAAGUAGAAAAAAAGGUAGGAAAAGCUUCAAAUACCACCCCUGUGGUUUCGCAUUUAUUCAUUUUAAUAUCCUGUGGUUUAAAGUGUAUCAAUUUAUGUCUGCGACCACGAAUGACGCACCUCACAUGGUUGAUCUUAUUUUCAAUUUUCCGUGGGGUAGUAUUCAUGAUUCAGAUUAAGAUUUAAUUAUAUAUGGUUAUCAGGUAUUGUGGAUUCAUGACUUCCAAUAAACGCAAGCGUUUAUUGUUAAUUACCCCUACAAAGUGUGAUGGCACCUUCGAUUAAGAGACCUCUGUAAUGCUGAACUUGAAUAAAAGAUGAAUUUUAUAACAUAAUUCAGUAUACAAUUACAUAGCUUAACCAGGGACAUGCCCCCAGUGUAUAAUAAAAGAGAAAAUGGUUAAUUCAACGACAUGAGUAUGACGGUUGAUUGAAUUUGAUUCUGAACCAAGAUAUCAAAGUAUAUGAUCAAAUUGAUUUGAUUGGGCUCCAUAUGUUUCAGUGCUCAACAAUAUUGUUCACCCUAAGGUGAAAGGUUGGUUAAAUUCCCUAUAUAUACAUUGGGAUUUAAUCAGAUCUGAUUCGAAUUAAGCUCUAAUUAAAUGAAUUAGAGUUUGAUUUAGUUAAUUGAACUUUAAAUAUAUGUGAUAAAGUCCAAUGGGAUUUGAUUCAAUGUAAGCCUUCAUCCUAAAUGUAUGUGUUAGGAUUAGCCCAAAUAUUUUGAAUUAGACUCUAAUUUUAUAUCUUAGAGUCUAGUGUAAUUAGGCUCUAAGCUUAUGGGUUAGAGCUUAAUUAUAUUUACUUUGGAUUCACCAUAAGGUGAAAUGUUAACUAAAUCCUAAUUAUAUAUAUUAGGAUUAGUCAGAUUUAAUCUAAAUUAAACUCUAAGUAUAUGUACNACUUUGGAUUCACCAUAAGGUGAAAUGUUAACUAAAUCCUAAUUAUAUAUAUUAGGAUUAGUCAGAUUUAAUCUAAAUUAAACUCUAAGUAUAUGUACUAGAGUCUAACUUAGCUUCAUUUGUUUGAACUCCAAGUAAAUAUAUUAGAGUCCAAUAAAUUUGAUUCAAUUUAAGCCUUCAUCCUAAAUGUACGUGUGAGGAUAGACCUAAAUAUUUUUAAAUUAGACUCCAAUUUAAUAUCUCAAAGUCUAGUGUAAUUAAGCCCUAUGCUUAUAUGUUAGAGCUUAAUUAUGUCUCAUAUUGAGUGAAAUAUUAACUAAAUCCUAAUUAUAUAUAUUAGGAUUAGUCAAAAUUUGAUUUAAAUUAAACUCUAAGUAUAUGUGUUAGAGUCUAAUUCAGCUUCAUACGGGUUCACCAUGAGAUGAAAUAUCAACUAAAUCCUAAUUAUAUAUAUAUAAGGAUUAGUCAAAUUUAAAUUAAACUCUAAGUGUAUGUAUUAGAGUCUAAUUCAAUUUCAUUUAUUUGAACUCUAAGUAAAUGUAUUAGAGUUCAAUUGAACUGAUUAGGUGAAACCUAAUAGAUGGUUUGAUCAAUUCUAAACAAAUAUUUUAGAAUUUGAUCUAAUAUGAAUGUGAUAACAAUAUGACUCUAGCUUAAUAUGCUAGAGAAUUGGAUUAAAAAGAUUUGCCCUUAACAAAUUGGUAGAGCUUGGUUUCAUAUUUGAUCUGAUAGGCAUGAUUUAAGGUCUUGGUUUGGGUUAGAUUUUUGGGUUUGAUGUUGGUCUGAAUUGGUUUUCAAUUUAGAUUUUAUUCGAUUUGGGCAUUUUUAUGAACCAGUUUGGAAUUCAAACUUGGGCUAGGUAUAGCUUCAAGUUAUGGUUCAAUUCUCGGAUGGAUUCAUUCAUGGUCCAAAUUUGGGUCCAUAUAGUUGCAUUCAAACAUGGACUAGAUUCAGGCCUACAUGGUAUGGACUCAAGUUGAGGCCUGAAUUAAAUUUAAGUUCUGGAUAAAGGCAUAGGCCCAGUUUAGGUCCGUUUAAUAUGGAUUCAGGUUGAGGCUUGAAUUACAUGUGGGCUCGGGCUCAAUUUAGGCCCGUAUGGCAUAAGUCCAAAUUUUCUUUUAAGCAAGCCAUAGAAUUGGGCCCAGAUUUAUGUUUGGGCUGAACUUGGGUCAUGUUGAGCUUGGGUUAUGAGAUUUGAGGUGAGAACGGGCUUGGUCCAUUGUUUUGAGGUGGUUAAUUUGGGAUCAUAUGAGAUUGUAAGAUUCAGAAUCAAAUUCAUUGCUUAAAAAUUUCGAAUGCAUUUUUUUAUUUGUCAAAUUCUCAGUCAUUAAUCACAUAAAAUGUCCAAUGCAAUCUCAAUUUGGUCUAAUUUGGCCAAAUCGAAAAAUUCAACUUUGGAUAGAAUCAAAGGGUUCGAUUAUUUUUCGAACAUCCCACAGUUCUUCCAAUAAAAGGACGAUCAAAAGAAUAUUAAUCGAUAACCCGAUUAAUUUUCUUUUGUCUCCUCAUUAUAGGAGAAUUAAGAGAGAAUUUUUCUUUUUAUCUCCUUUGAAAAUACAAGACAACAAAGAUAGAUAAUUCUUCUUUGUCUCUUUUACAUUCAUGGGACAACUAAGGUGGGAAAAUCCCUUCCUUGCCUCCCUUUUUGUAACAAAGCUUCCUCUCUCUUUUGUAAUUAGAGAAGUAAUCUCUUUCUCUCUCUCUUUUGAUAAUAUACUUUUUUUUUUGCAAAGAGAAGAGCACCGCUCUCCCUCUUUCGAUAAUGCUAUAUUUUUUGUAAAGAGAAGAGCACCGCUCUUUCUCUUUUAAUAACACAUUUUUUAUAAAGAGAAGAGCACCGCUCUUUCUCUAAGUUCGCUGUCGAAAGAUAUGUCUCGGGCAUUCCGUCAAACAAUUGGUGGACGUGAACAGAUGAGGUCGUCGGGCUUCAACUCGUCGGAGCCGUUGAUGAUGACCAUGAACAGCGUGUCGCUCUGCACCUCUACACUGCUCGAUGGCUGCCGGUUCCAAGGAAGUUGACGUGGAUGAUCUCUGCGGCGAGCCCCGCGAGCUAGGAAGUCGUGUGCGACUUUGUAGAUGCUGACGUAGACCUUCUGGGCGACGAGCACGAAGUCGCAGUGCUCGUUUGCUCAGCCCAUAACUCAGCUUCUUCAGCCUCGUCGUGAUCUUGUCAAAGUAGACCGACUCUUGCCGCCCGUCUCGUUUCGUUUGGGAAUUUCGUCGAACAGGUGGAGGGGGUGGAGAUAUGUAGAUGGAGACGCGGCGGAGCUCGGUGGAGACGCGGCGGAGAUGCGACGGCUUCGGUGGAGACGCGGCGGAGAUGCGGCGGCUUCGGUGGAGACGCGGAGGCGCUCAGCGGAGCUUGGUGGAGACGCGGCGGCGCUCAGCGGAGCUCGGUGGAGCUUGGCGGAGGCACUCAGCGGAGCUCGGUGGAGACGCAGGGGCGCUCAGCGGAGCUCGGUGGAGACGCGGCGGCGCUCAGUGGAGCUCGAUGGAGCUCGGCGGAGGUGUUGACGAACUUGGCGUCGCGGCCCGCCGAGUAGGUCGCAGGCGAGGGCGAUCUCGAACCUGGCGGUGACGGCGAAUCCGGCGACGGCGCCGGCGAUGGGCUUGCGGCACGCAGCCAUGGCGGCGACAGCGUCGGCGGCGGGGUCUUUAACGUCGCCCUUGAAGACAUUCUCGUCGGCGGUGAGGUCGACGCCGGAGCAGAAGGCGCGGCUGUGCCCGGCGAGGACCACGGCGGAUCCAUAGGGUCGCCGCUCCACUUGAGCAUUUCGUCGAGCACCUUGUCGGAGGCGAGCUCGCCCGUGGCGUUGUAGCAGUUUUGCUUCAGGGUCUCCUUGUGGUUGGAGAGGAUGGCGUUGUGAAGCUUCGCCCGGAUCCCGUGGGUGACCGAAACCCUGGUGCGGUCGACGGAGGUCCCUGCGGCGAAGCGCGGGGAGAGGGCGUGGUUCGCGGCGUUGGAGUCGUCGAGGGCAUCGAGCUGCGUCUUGAUGGAGUGGGCAGUGCGGAGGAUCGCGGCGAAGCUCGGUGGAGCUCGGCAGAGGCGCUCGGCAUCUCUGGCGUGGAGGAGGGAGAAGACGAGGUGCGCGUCGAGGAGGCGGAGGGUGGCUGACCAUGCGGUGGAGAUGGGACGCGCACAAUCGGCGAGGCGGGUGACGCAGAGGGGGUCGAGCAGAGAGAGAGAGAGAGAGAUCUGAGAUCUUUUACUUCUCUUUUCUCUUUUUUUUUUCUUUUUUUUUUCUUUUUUUUUUUUAGGAGGGAGAGAGAUAGAGAGAUCUGAGAUCUUUGUCAUUGAUUGAUGCUAUAUCAAUGGAAAAACUACCUUUUUUUUUCUUCUUUCGUGAACAGGGGAAUAGUAUGGGUUUUUUUUUAUUAGGAAUAGGUUUGAGAGUUCAAAAACUGUGUCCUCUUUUUCUUUUCUCAUUGAGAGAUAUUUAUGGGACUAGUCUAACUACCCGGGAGAACGUGCGUAUGGACGUGCGUAUGGUGAGGUUUGUGGGAAGUUACGAUGUAGGAUCAUGGGAUCAUAGGUAUUAAAUUGCAUAUUAGUCCUUCCCAUUUGUUUAUAUUAUACCUUAGUUAAAAUAACAGAAUAUUAUAUGUUUGAAGGAGCAUCUUGCAAAUAUAUGAAAGGGAAAUGACUAAUUUGCUAUUUGUAAUACCCAUUCAUGCCUACAAGAACAUCCCACUUUUUGUAAUCUAUGCACCUGGUGCAUGGAUUAACCUAUGCACCAGGUUCAACAUUUGAACUCAAAUUUCUCCAUGCACCUAGUGCAUGGAUCAUCUCAUACACCAUUAUUCAAAUUUUCUCUCAUUCUACCUUUUUUCUUUGUCCUUUUUUUUUUUUUUUUUUUUCAAGCAGAAGACGGCAUANNNNNNNNNNNNNNNNNNNNNNNNNNNNNNNNNNNNNNNNNNNNNNNNNNNNNNNNNNNNNNNNNNNNNNNNNNNNNNNNNNNNNNNNNNNNNNNNNNNNNNNNNNNNNNNNNNNNNNNNNNNNNNNNNNNNNNNNNNNNNNNNNNNNNNNNNNNNNNNNNNNNNNNNNNNNNNNNNNNNNNNNNNNNNNNNNNNNNNNNNNNNNNNNNNNNNNNNNNNNNNNNNNNNNNNNNNNNNNNNNNNNNNNNNNNNNNNNNNNNNNNNNNNNNNNNNNNNNNNNNNNNNNNNNNNNNNNNNNNNNNNNNNNNNNNNNNNNNNNNNNNNNNNNNNNNNNNNNNNNNNNNNNNNNNNNNNNNNNNNNNNNNNNNNNNNNNNNNNNNNNNNNNNNNNNNNNNNNNNNNNNNNNNNNNNNNNNNNNNNNNNNNNNNNNNNNNNNNNNNNNNNNNNNNNNNNNNNNNNNNNNNNNNNNNNNNNNNNNNNNNNNNNNNNNNNNNNNNNNNNNNNNNNNNNNNNNNNNNNNNNNNNNNNNNNNNNNNNNNNNNNNNNNNNNNNNNNNNNNNNNNNNNNNNNNNNNNNNNNNNNNNNNNNNNNNNNNNNNNNNNNNNNNNNNNNNNNNNNNNNNNNNNNNNNNNNNNNNNNNNNNNNNNNNNNNNNNNNNNNNNNNNNNNNNNNNNNNNNNNNNNNNNNNNNNNNNNNNNNNNNNNNNNNNNNNNNNNNNNNNNNNNNNNNNNNNNNNNNNNNNNNNNNNNNNNNNNNNNNNNNNNNNNNNNNNNNNNNNNNNNNNNNNNNNNNNNNNNNNNNNNNNNNNNNNNNNNNNNNNNNNNNNNNNNNNNNNNNNNNNNNNNNNNNNNNNNNNNNNNNNNNNNNNNNNNNNNNNNNNNNNNNNNNNNNNNNNNNNNNNNNNNNNNNNNNNNNNNNNNNNNNNNNNNNNNNNNNNNNNNNNNNNNNNNNNNNNNNNNNNNNNNNNNNNNNNNNNNNNNNNNNNNNNNNNNNNNNNNNNNNNNNNNNNNNNNNNNNNNNNNNNNNNNNNNNNNNNNNNNNNNNNCCAGCAGACAAUUUAUUAUGGCCUUCCUAAAGCUAGCGCUUUACGGUUGAGAAGUGUUGCCUUAGCCGCUUGCGAGGCCUAUUCUUUGCCUGCCAUUCACGUGCCGCCUACGUAUUUCAUGAGUGACCACCACGAAGGGUCUGCAAGGUCCUGCGCAUCCUGGGCCUCAAUUCCCUGUUAGUUUUCUAUAUGCGUGGAUUGGUCUUCAUUUUGAACAGACUUAUUCUAGAAAGGUGAUCAGCGAUAAUAUCAAAAACAUCGCCGGCUUACAAAGCCCUCCUCAAAUGAUAUUUUUUAUGGAUGCGGCGGCUUCUCCUUUUAAUGCUAAGCGAGCACGAAUUCAUCUCAGAUCGAGCGCCCAUUUUGUGUGGCGUCCCCUGCCAUAUUCUUAUUCUUUUGUUAAUGAUGGUUGGCUUUAUGAUGCAAAAUUGACUACAGGAGAGUGUAAAUAUCCAAAAGAGGUCAAUGAAUAUAUAAUUUCUAUCAGACAGAGUGUGCUUCCACUUCGUUUGGGGAACAAACUGCACACACAGCCAUAUAAUCCUCAUCGUUUUGCUCGACAAUUCGGCUUCGAUCAAUCUUUUCCUGAAAGUAUCAAUGUUCCUAAAUUAGCCAACCAUCUUGGGACACUUGCUGGGUGUUGGAAUCAUUUUCUGCGAUAUGGGACUUCUACUAACUAUUUUAUACCAAAGAAAGACCGGAUUGGCAAACCGACUUUACAUUAUGCGCGUUGGUGGUCUAAUAGCGUGCAUUCGAGCUUCAAGCAUGGAGUGGGCUAUUUACUAAAUGCAGAUGAUCCCCGCAAGAAGAAGAAAAAAGGUGUUAUCAUUUUAGAGAAAAAUUCAACUUUUGAAGGGAGAUUGAUUCUUCAGAUGUUAUAAAUGAAAGAGUACUAAACUCUCUAGAACCAGAGGGAAAGCAACUUGAUUUAUUUCCAGAAUAUGAUCAUAUCCAAGCUGGUCCUUCCGAUGACUCUCCUCAAUUUGAAGUUCUCGGCCUCAGUUUUCCAAUUCACGAAGAUGAGAAAUCUAAGGUAUGCUCAUUAACAAUUUCAAUUAUCUUCUCUCUACUUUUUAUUUUUUGUGUGCUGAACUUCUUUUGUUUUAUGGUAUUUGUAGGAAGUGCGCAUUAUAGAUUCGCCUACCGGAGGUGAAAUGCAUUGGCAAGAUUCUACAACGAGGACAAAGGUGCGACGUAGAAUCCGUAUGAUUCGAAUUUUGUUGGUUCAUUCUAGCAUCCUUUCUUUCCAUGUAUUAACUAUAUAUAUGUAUUUAUAUUUUUACAUAGAUAUGCAAUGUGGAACCAUCUUUAAGAAGCCCAAAAAAUCUACCAUUGGAUGCUUCAACUAAAGUAGCUCAUGGAAAGCUUCCCCUUACUGUGUCUUCAAUAAUAGGUGACUCUUUUCAUUCAUAUUCUAUUUAUAAUUAUCUGCACAUGAUGUACGCCACAUUUAUCCUUUAUAUAUAUAUAUAUAUAUAUACAUAUAUAAAUAUAUAUAUACAUAUGUAUAUAUGUAUAUAUAUGUAUAUAUAUAUAUAUGUAUAUAUGUAUAUAUAUGUAUAUAUGUAUAUAUAUGUAUAUAUAUACAUAUAUACAUAUAUAUAUAUAUAUACAUAUAUAUAUAUAUGUGUAUAUAUGUAUAUGUAUAUAUAUACUAGUUGAGUGUACGUGCAACUGCACGUAACAAUUAUUUUAAUUUAUUUAAAUCAAUAAAUAUUUGUAAAUCAUAUUUAUUCAAAAAUUUAUAAAUAUUUUUUAAAUUUAUAUAUUACAUUUGAGCAGAAAUUAAUGUAAAAAAAAAUAUAUUUUGAAAUUAAAUAGAAAAAUAAAAUAUGUUAUCUUAAAAAGAAAAGAUAUUUUGAAAUUCGAAAAUUAAUAUAAAAAAGAAAAAAUAAAAUCCGUUAUCUUUUAUAGGAUUUUCAUACCAAAAAUAUUUUAAAAAAGAUAUUUUAAAAAUAAAUUGAAAAAUAUCUUUUAUAGGAUUUUCACACCCGUAAUUUGUUAUAAAAAACUUACUUUUAAAAUUAAAUAGAUAAUACCUAAAAAAGAUAUUUUAAAAUAAAAUAGAAAAAUAUAAGUAAUCGGUUAUAGAGAACAUGCGUAUGCAUUAGGGUUUCUAUUUUUAUUCUUAUAUUUAAAAUUUUUUUUGUACGGAAUGAGGAAAAUGGGCGCUAAUUUUUCCGCCGAAAUAUGGGUCUGUCGACAGACCCAAAUUUGAAUAUACGUGUUUUUAUAUAUAGUAUAGAUAUGUGUAUAUAUGUAUAUAUAUGUAUAUAUAUAUAUAUACAUAUGUAUAUAUAUAUAUAUAUAUUUUUAACCGAUAGAAUCACAAAUCGGAAGGAGUGGGUCUAUUGAGGAUGACGUGUCUCUAUAUGAUGAUGAAUUGGUUCCACACCUUCGCCGCCAAAGGUAAUUUUAUUUUUUUUUUUUUUUUGGUUAAAUCCAUAUGCCUUCUAUUAGUCUUAAAUUAAGCAUUUGAUUCUCAACUAAAGAAGGAGGUAAGAUAUGGAUAAUAAUGUGUAAUUUUUCGUUAGAAAUCUGUAGCCGCAAAAAUUUUAUAAAUCGGAGCUAUAACGAAAAUGUUAUGGCCCAUUUACAUUUUGGUCCCUGUAUUUACAAAGCAGUCCCUGCAGUUUCAUUUCAGUCCCUGCAGCUUCAUUUUCCUUUGAUUUUUUGAUGCAAAUCUAUAUUCUCGGUCUUUCUUUUUGGUCUAAAAUUGUUCUCAAGGAAUUCAUGGCUGUAACAAUACAUAAGUUAGGAUUACAACGGCAAUGUUAUAACCCGUUUUACAUAAUACUCCUUAUUUUUUUGUUUUACAAAAUAGUCCCUGCAGCAUGUAUCUUCAAUUUUGCUCCGAAUAUCAGCAUAUAGUCUUUUUUCUCACAGGAUCCACUCAUAGAUGUUGCAGAUAUUGGAGUGUCAUCUUUCAGGGAAGCUUGCCCGACUCAUCAUGAGGUAUAUAUGUAUUUAUCAAAAUUGUCCCAAGUUUUAUUUCAUAUCGCUCCCGUAGUCAUACAUUAAGCGCAUUUACUAUUUCUUUUACACCACAACUCCAUUGUUUAGGAUGAGGGUGCCAAAGAAGAUAAUGACAGUAUAGUAGAGGAAAGCAAAAAUGAAGCUAUAACAGAAUCGCCUUCACUGGGUAAAAGAGAACGAGUCGUUGAUUUUUCGACUAUAGAGGCGCAUAAGAGAGCUCGUUUGGAGACCGAUUUAAAAACAACUAGUAAGGCCCCAUUUUUUCUUGUCAAAGUUUCAUAAAAAGCAGUAUGCCCUAUGAAAGCAUCCCUUUUAUAUAUUUUUAUUGUCUCUUUUUUUUGUGCGCAGGUUUUCCGGUAGAGUCAAAAUCAAAUAAUGAUCCAGAAGAUGCUUUAUCGCCUUACGGCGACGAAGUGAACUACGAGCCUACACCUUCACCACCCUGAAGCUCUUGAAAAUAAUGAUAUGGUGAGAUUUUAUAUAUUCAAACAUUUCUUCUUCUCAUUUUCUUUCAUAUUUUUUAUUAUUUUCUCUUUUUUAUAGGAUGUACCACUUGACGAGAAUGUCGGUAUUCACUUGGAUAGUGGUGCAGGAGAUUCCCGAAGCGAGAUACCUAUUGUAGCCCAGUCAUUUUUGAUCGAUCGCAUAAUGGAUACUAUGAAGACAUUUAAUCGUCGCAAAUUUAGAUCAGCUCGAGACGAAGUAUCAAAAUAUUGCCAAUGUUUAUCUUCACUUGGAAUUGAUAUAUCUGAAUUGGAAAGGCGUAUAAAACCUAUAUUUGACCAUGCAGAGGCCAUUGAAGAAGUAGAAUCAAGUCCAAAUUUUAUUUCAGUUGUUCGACUCAUGAAUGCUGAUGAGAAUCUGGCACUAAGAAAAAGAAAACUUGCUUCCCAUAUCAGUACAAAGAGUUCUCUCCUUCAAGGUACUGAAAGUGUCUCUUUAGAGCUUCAACAAACCAGAGAGAAAAUAAAAGAACUAGAAGAGAGUAUAUUGCAUUUGAAAAGUACAGAAGCGGAAUUGACACUUAGACUUGAAGUGGCUGAUGACUCCUUAAAGAAACUAAUACCGACUGAAGAAGAACUACAAAAGGAUGUCGUUGAUGCAGAAAAGGAAUAUGCUGCAGUCAUUGAAGAUUGUAAUGAUUCUAAAGAAUCCACUGGUCUUCGAGGAUUAAUAGAGCUGUUUGAGGAGCGUCGUCAAAUAUUUGAAAUUUGAUUUCUUCUUUUCUUCUCUUUGUUAUUUUUUGUUUGUCACGAAUGUUAUUUUUGUUUGUCACUAAUAAGAAACAAUAUUUUGUAGUCUCAAUAGUUUGAAUGUUUUGGAUUAUGCUUGAGUAUUUGAUCUCCUCAUCUUUUUUAUAUUGUGUUGCAUUGUGACAAUGAUUAUCUUGUGAGAAUGGCUUUGUUUAUUUUGCCUCGAUCACCACGCAUAACCAACUCUUAAUUGGGUUAGCAUUCUGUCAUCCAAAUAAAUUCUAGAUAGGUACUCUAUCCCGACUUUUAUUUAUAGGUCUCGAAGAAUUUUCUCAAAACAAAGAUCCCUAAUUUGCCACAGUUAAUAUUUCGUAUGCUAGUGGCUCAAAUCCAUAUUUAGAGACAUGGUUAAACUAAAUUAAAUUUUCAAUGCUCAAUUUAAAAAUAUAGCGAUCAUAUUAGAAUGCUCAGUUUAACGACAUGGCAGUCGAAUUACAUCAGAUGCUCAGUUUAACGACAUGGCGGUCAAAUUACAUUAAAUGCUCAGUUUAACGACAUGGCGGUCAUAUUACAUCAGAUGCUCAAUUUAACGACAUGGCGGUCAAAUUAGAUUAUAUGCUCAGUUUAACGACAUGGCGGUCAUAUUACAUCAGAUGCUCAGUUUAACGACAUGGCGGUCAAAUUACAAUUAAAUCUCAUUAAACGACAAUUUUUGGCGGUCAUAAUUACAUUCUGAACUGCUGGGGAUAAAUUCACAAUUUAAUCCCGAAUCCAAUUGUGACCCAUAUUGUCUAAACAACAUUACAUCCACUCUUUUUUUUCUUCUUUUUUUUUUUUUAAUCCCAAUCGGAUUGGGCCUAGAUAGAUAUAUAUUGCCAUAUACUUAGGGCUGAGAUAAUUUCGGCUUAAUACCUACCCAAAUUGUAUAUAGGCUGGAUUUCGGGUGUAUAAUUAUGCGGCCCAAUGAUUUGGGCUUGUGCUUGUCUUCUUAUAAGUUCUUGUGACCAUGAAUAAAACAAUUGGCCCAUCAAAAUAACUCAAAUUCAAUUUCCCAACAUCUCUUCUAUAAUACUCAUCAACACCCUCACACAUUUUCAAAAUAUUUCUUUUUUUAUGCAUAAUCAUCUUGUAAAAACGACACAUUGAAUACUGCAUUGUACAAAUCAACACCUCACCUUUCCAAAAAGCAAAUAACGAUAAGCGCACAACCCGCUCAUAGCAUUCCACACAUAUAACAGGCUACACACAAUCCACAACAAUAUUGAUCGAAUAUCUUUCGCAUGUUUAACGCAUCUAAAACGACAACAACAACUCCCCAACAUUGAACCACAGGGGUUAGUUUUAUUAUAUCGCACAACACCCACAACUAUCAACAGCUUGAUAGAUUCAAAUUUUUUGGGCAAUUACUGAUUAAACUCAUCACUAUACGUUUUUUAAUCGUUGAACUGCUUAAUUCGCAAUGAAGCAAUUCAAUCUUCUAAAACCUGUAAACUAUCCUCAGUGCCAAACACCAAAGAGUAGUGUGUUCUGAUUGUGGGUUCUAUAAUUUCAUAGUCAAAAGCUCUAUAAUCGCAAUAACCAUCUUUUGAUUUUGACAAAAAUUUUCUUUAAAUUUUUACAAAGAUCUAUAAUGGCUUCACCAAUCCAUGCUUGCAUAUAUAUUGUAAAUAUCCGGCAUCAAUUUGUGUUAGCAACUCUAUGACUUUGAAAACUCUUAACGUUUUAUUAUCAAGAUAUAAUUCUCUUGGAACCCAAAUCAAUAUAUAAUAUUUUCUCUAAGAUUUACAACAUCAUCUGCUUUACUUUCCUAGUGAAUGCUUCACCCAUCUGAAAAAGAAUCUGUAGCACUAGAAUAAACUUAUCCCCCCUGGUAGAUUUGGACUUGAUAUACCCUAUCACAUCUGUUCCCCAAUAUUAAACGGCCACUAGCAUUGUAGAUUUCAAGGGUGAUGAUUAUUUCAAUGAUCACCGGUGAUUUGACAUGGGAGGAUGCAGUUCCUAUAGCAUAAUCAUAAUCAAUCUGUACAUUGUGGCCAAUAAUACCGCAAUUUUAAUUUUAGCGCCAUUUUUGCCCUUAUUAUUGCCACCCAAACACCCAAUAACAUUCAUGCAUGACUGUUAAUCCAUUGGUGAUAACAACAUUUAGCCAUAAUGAACAAAAGUAUUUGCGAUAAAGUUGAUUAUUAACGAAUAUAUCUCAUCGCUCUUUUCUAUUGCUGUCUGACUUUCUCUGCAGUAUUAUUAUCAUUUGAGAAAAUCGAAGAAAGUCUCUCCAAUCAUCUUCUAACGAUAUUACAACUUAGACUCCUUCGCUACUCUUUCUUGAUUUAAGUCUAGCCAGGAUAUAUAUUUUUCGAUUCGUAAAUUAUUGGACCUGCACCAUUGAGUGCGGAUCAGCAAUCUCUUAGGUCCAAUCUUAGCUAGGGUAAUACAUUGAACAUUCGGCAAACUAGGAAUUCUGAAGGAGUUGAAUAGUGACUCUGAUGAACUCUUCUACAACUUUUGUAGGAUUGUUGAGAGGCUUCACAAAUCACUGAGCAAGCAGAUAACUGGAAAUGAAAAUGCAUUACAAUGCCUUACUCUAUGCAAUGCUUCGAAUUUUGCAAUGCGAAGUUCUAGUAAGGGGAUGACCAUUGGAACCUUCCCACAGGUUCUAAAGGUUAAAGAUAAUUAUGAAUAAGUUUAAGAGUGAUCGAAUGUGAGAAGCGAGGAAGUGCGUUGCACUUUAGAAUGCAUCUUCUCAUUGUUAUCGGUAACCCUAUCGUACCGUACCCUAACAGCAGAAUCUGCAGCUGCGUGGCAGCAAGGCCAUUUUGGUCUUUUUACAUCUCCUACUCAUCCUUAUCCCUCCCAGCUCGACCCUGAGGUUGUAUUACACUUAGAAACUCAGGAAAAAACAGGUUUUAGCUAUCCUCUUUCUCUCUCUAGGGUUUGGAGCUCAAGAGAGCUUGGUGUAGUGGUUUCGGCUUUUUCGACGUGAUUUCCUUGCGCUAGCUGGUUUGGUGGGAUUUGGAGGAGCUCUCUUGUUGUGAACUGUUGGAGGUGAAGGUUCUCUUGCUGCCCAACUUAGUUGGAACCUGAUUUGCAUUAAGGUAUGAUGGACUAAGCAACUUUUCUCUCUCUAGUUUCAUGGUAGUUGCUAGUAGUGGUUGUUGGAGCCGAUUUUGGACUCUUUGCUGGCAGCAGGUUGUGGCAAAUAUUUUAUCAUCUUGAGAAGGAUUAGGGUGCUGUGGAGUCUUCACUUUAGCUCAGGGAGGAGCUGAUUUGUGACUUAAUCAGGUAAUUAGUCCACUUAUAGAAGUUUUAGCAUGUUUGACGAGGUCGAGGUGUUGAUUUUGGAUGUAGUGAUCGCAGCAGCAGUAAAUGUCGCUUAGUGCUGAGUUUGGGACUCCGUAAGCUGAAUUGAAAGGUACUUUCAUUGGUGGUAAGUAGAAUUUGUAAUUGGAAAACUAAAUAGCUCAUAUUUUAACCUAUAUUGGAUAUAUGUUUAUGAAGUAAAGGCUGUUUUGUGAUGUUAUUCGCAGCGUAUCGCGAUUGUGGACUGAUUGGUUCUUGGCUGUAUUUGAAGGCUUUCAGAGGGUUAAACUUAGAGUUUAAUCGGAUCCAAAACAGGGAACUAAGCUACUCCACGAUUUAAGGUGAAGUAGUAGCCGAUUUUGGAUGCUUUGUUCAUAGUUGACGCAGUUUUUGGAGCUAUGUCCACAGCAGAUCUUGUGUUUACUUGAGCUAAUUUUAAUACUUCUUUGGGCAGGUCUGAGCUAAGUUUUGAGAACACCUAGCUUCCUUAUUGAGCUCACUCAAUUUCCUUUGUUCUAGGUAUGAACUAACACCUAGUAUGCAUUAAUAUGUGAGGUUCCUAAUUGUUCAACUGAAAGUUGAUUUUAACGUGUUCUAGGGGAUUGAGAGACGUUGGACUUGGUUGAUCGAGAGCUUCCCUUAAUAGGUGGGUCUGGCUUUCCCGAAAUGGAUGAAUUCCCUCUUUGUCUUCUUUGACAUUUGAGUUGAAGUUAUUUUAUACUUAUGUGAAUAUAUGUAUAGUUUAAGGCAUUGAGACAUGCACUGAUAUGUAGAUCAUAUCAGAACCGAUAGUAUUUUUAAAUGGUAAUGAAAGAUUCAUGACUUGUCCAUUCUACAUGGUUACCUGAUAAGUACUAUGAAUUCAUGAUACUAGUAGCUUGCAUAUGCAAUUUGGCUUGAUGUUAUCCACGAGGAUAGAAUGGUAAAUUCGUGAAUGGACCAAUUAGUUCUGUUGAACAACAAAGAGACUGAUGUACUUAGGAGUGAGUUAUGCAAUGUUAUGCAACAAGUAUAAUGGCUAAACUCUGAAAGAUCAGGUAAAGGCUUGUGUUUGCAUAUGCAUUCCUAAUUGUAGAAUGAAUGGCAUGGAGGUCAUGUGAAAAGUAUUUUAUUGUUUAUAUUCCUUGCUUAUAUUACUCUGUUAGUUUCUGCAUUCACAUGAUAGAGUCAUAUUGUGGUAUAUAUUCUAGUAAGUAACUAGAAGUUUAUAGGAUGGCAUAAUUGAAUGACAUACAGAUGAAUAUAAUCUAGUAGAUAACUAGAUUUAAAUAUGAUGACAUACUUGUAUAGUCAAGUAGAGGUGAUUGUUUCAUAUUUGUGUGCGUCAAGUAAUAGAAGUUUAUACUGAACUUCAGGUUAUGUGCCAUGAGUCUAUGAAUAGAACCUUAGUAAACCACUUUCCUUAUGUGUAAGGAGUAGUGAGAGAUUGUGAAUGAUUGACCAGGUAUAGUCUGAUAGAAUCACUAGUGUGAUGUAAAGCCUUAACUUGUCAAGUUAUAUUAGUUGUUAGUAGAAUCAUAUCAACAAGUUGUUGAUAGUGACUUAUGAUUGGGUACUACAGUGCCGACCUUGGGUCGAGUGGAGAUAUUUGUACCCUGGACUAUAGCUUGCAUGCCAAUACGCUCUUUCGUACCUGCUUGCGGGGGUCGCGCCCCCCAAGCCCCGCGUUCCGGAGUGGCUUGAGUUGAGAUACCAUGUCAGGGACAUGAUACUGUUGUGAGAUUGGUACUAUGGACUACGGCUUGCAUGCCAUUGUGCGCGUUCGCACACGCUUGCGGGGUCGCUGCCCCCAAGCCAGCACUCCCGAACAGCUUAGCGACAGAUGCUCGCAAAUGUACGAAGUGAGCGCCGAAGUGGAAUGCCGUGGGGAGUGUACACUACCACGGGGCCAUUAGGCACGGCGCGGCUUGAACUUACCUUGUGUAAGUUUGUUGGAAAUUGGGUUAUGUCAAGUACUUCAACCUUAGCUGGACAUAGUAGUAAAGUUACUUUAUGUCUUUGGUUAAGUGAACUUAUUGAUGAACAUACUAAAAAGUUGACAUCUAAAGUGAGCUUAGUGAUGAAUAACCUAGAAGUUGACAUAAUGAUUGGUUAGCAACACAAUGAAUGACAUUAUGUUUCUUUCUUGCUAAUGCAAAAGGUAAUUACAUGAUAUCAUCUGUAAUUUCAGUAAAGGGAAUUACCUUGCAUACAAUCAGGUAUUUGUUUGGUUAAAUUGUCAAGUAAUUUGAUUGAUAGAAUCUAUCAUGAUAACUGAUACCUGCAAUCUAUUGAUGUUUAUUUAUUGUUGAGCAAUAGCAUGAGUAGUUUAUUUUCAUACCUGUUGCAUGUAAUUGCCUAUUGCAUUAUCUGCAUUUACUUGUUUAUACAUUGUUAUUUACUCAUGCCACAGUUGACCUAGUGGUGUACUUCGCCACCCCCGGCGGAUUACCCACUGGGAACUAUUGUUUAAUAGUUCUCACACCCUCUUUAUUGUUGUUUUUACAGAGCCUUCCACCGCGGGAAAGGCUAGGGUUCUUGGCGAGGGGUCUGCGGCUAGCUAGAGCCUUUUGGACGUGUACUAGAUGACCUCCACCAGUUUAUGUAGUUUAGUACAGAGAUGUAUAUUAAGUUUUGUAAAUUGUACUUUAUUCUUAUUUCCCGUAUUAAGGUUUGGAUUGUAUAAGUUAAACUUAAAAGUCUUGCUCUGAUUACCUGGUUAGAAUUAUAUGCUUUUACUAUCUGGUUGUAGACGCCUUGUGUAUACUUGAGUCGGGAUGUACACGGCGGGUCUGUGCACGCGACCGGAUAUGCUUCCGUUGGUACCCGGGCGUGACAGAUUAUAGUGGUAUCAGAGCCUAGGGUUGAGUUUUAGUGGACCUAGUAAAUCUUAGGCCGGUUGAACGAUCAGGAUUAGGAGCGUGAGAAACGGGGUCUUUUGCGACUAUAUUGAGCGAAAGUAUUAUGAUUGGGUCAUACUUAUAACUCCAAAAUUGUUGGAGUUCGAUUGAAAUGAAUAACCUCUAUGUCCUUCCAAAAUCACGUUGGCGGCCGACAAUGUGAUAUUGGGAAAUAGUGGGCGGUCAUUUCAUUACUUUCGCAUGAUUAGAAUUUUACAAUUUUGAGUGGGGCUACGAUAGCAUGGGUUGUUUUAACCUGUGCCUAUUUUGUUUGUUGCAGCUUGCAAUGUCAAAGAUGCACCCUACGGCAACUGAUGCAACUGAGCGAGAAAGACAUGAACCCUCUGAAUCUAACGAGGUUCAGGAAUUAAAAGAGCAGCUAGCUACUCUAGUUGGAGUGGUAGAGCGACAAGCGAAUGUGACGCUACUUCAAGCCGAUGCUUUGCGCCGACAGGAUGAAGGAAUCAGACGGUUGGAGAACCUGUUGAUUCAACAGACGGCUGAUCUCAAGAAAUUCCACGAGGUUUCAGAUUGUACUUUGACCGUAAGAAAAGGUGUGGAAUGCACUGAAAGAGCCAAAGAGGCUACUGAGGGCGAUCAAUUAUAUGUCGGAGACUCAUCAAGAAAAUUAAAGAAGAAUCAACCUUCGAAACGUGAUUCUUUUUCUAAGCAAAGAAGAUUGAGGAGACGAUUACCUCGGCCAUGUGUAAUAUGUGGAGGUCCGCAUGUUCCCCCAAAGUGUCCUCAGCGGAAAGGAAAGUGUUUUGUAUGUGCUCAGGAGGGCCAUUUUCGCUCUGAGUGCCCAAGAAAUGAUAUGUUGACUAAGGUAUCUGCACCGACUUUGUUGCAAAAAGUACCCAGUGAAGGUACGCCGACGAAAUCAAAGAGUCAGAUACGACGGCAGGGAUAACUACUGCAGGUAGUACUUUAUGCAAUGUCCCUAUGAUUCGAUAUGAUCAUAAUGAUGGCUUUAGUUGCAUUUCUGAUCGGCUGUUUACCGAGUUGAUUCGUAUCAAUUCCCUCCUUAUUGCAUGUAGGAUUGAUUGAAUAGAAUAAUCUCUUUGACGCCCUGCCUAUUGAGAAGGCUUAGCAGAUGCCAGCAAAUGUAUUGGCUUAUCUAUGAGAUACUUGUACCACGGGUUGUGCGAACUAAAUUGGUUCGCCUUGGAACUUUGAACUUUUUGCAAUGCAUUUUGAAGGGUUUAACCUCGCUGAUUGCAAGAAUGAUCAUUUUUACCUAAAAUUAGGUAAUUAUGGAACGGUUGGAGCUUAUUUGGCCGAUAAGAUAAAUGUGAGAAUCCUCGAAAUGACGAAUCAUUUUGAGAAGUGGCUGUGAUAUUUUUGAUCAAGUCACAAAUUGUGAACUUGACGAAUAGCGAAUGUUUUAUGCCUAGUGCUUCAUGUUGGUGAAGUAAUUUCACUUGUGGUAAGAUUAGAUGAGCUAUUCAACUAUGUGUCGGAUAUCGUGAUUUCAAUUGGAAACACGAUUAAUUGAGAUCUGUGAAUCUUUUGACCAGCUUUUCGUAUUGGUGCAUGUUAUGGAUUAAGUAGCAAUUUGGGAAGUUGUAGUCUUCUGUGAUAGACAAGGUUAUGAAGGAUUUAUCCAGUUGAUUGUUCUGUGAAUCCUACAAGGUAGAUAAUGAUUGAUUGAGAAGAUGAAUUAAAAGGAUUGAGAUGAAUCUCUCCUAAUGGAACGAAGCAUCUUGGAAUAUUGAGAAAGAGAUUAUCCAGCUACUUAUUUCUUUCUCUUCUGAUCCUAGUUAUGUAUAAUUGGAACUAAGCUUCAGGGAACAAACUGCAUGAGGUUAGUCUUUGGGAAUUAAUAUCUUGACUAAUAGUUAUAUUGGGAUAAAUCUCAUACAGUUUGAAAGCAAAUGAUGAUGCUCUAAUGGUGGGUUAACGAAAGGUUUUGUUGAGAUUUCCUCCCUACUUAUGGAAAAAUAUGUAGAGUAACAGCAAUAGAAAACUUAUGGGUGAAGUAUAAAUUGAUUCCUUUCUAUUACCUUAAUUGGAUUUGGAACAAUGAGUACUUUGAGCCUCACACUCUCAGAACAGUAUCAAAGAAAGUGUAUCUGAAUUGAUUUAAUUAUAGAAGUAAAUAGUGAUGUCACAAGUGAAUUUGGGAGAAGCAAAGCUCCAAUUUGAGCUUGCAUAGCAUUGGAUGGAAAUCGUGCUUGAAUACAUGAAGACAAUCUCUUGGUGAUGAUUUGGUUAUGCUCUACUUAUGAUUAAUGUAAAGGGGAAACAGUAAAGUUGUAAAGAUAACAUUAAUGGAAUCCAUAUGACUUUAGAUAUUGACGUGGAGCAGCAUCCAUUUAUGCGAAUUGAGAUUAUCGCCUAGUGACAGGAUGAAAGAUGAUACUAAAGUAUUGGGAUACAAUGCGGAUUAGCUAAUCACGAAUCCAUUUUUUUGUGGAUUGAUAAACAUAAUCAAUUCCAAUUUGUCAGUGGAGGGUUACUAUCAAAGCUAACUAGUUCACUAUCAAGCUAGUUAUAAUUGAGGAAUAUAGUAACUACAAGGUAUAUGAGAGAGUUAUGACUACUGGAUGAUGCAAGUUAAUCACUGAUAUGUGAUCAUCUUGUAAAGCACAAGUUGUACAGGAGAGAUAACCGAUGAAGCCUAUUAAGGAAGAAAUAAACCCCUGCAGAUGAGCAAGAUGAGAAGGGUUGGAUUUUAUCCUCGAAUUAUUAAAAAAAAAAAAAAAAAAGUCGAAAUGGAACUUCAUCCAUUAAAAUCAUGGAUUCCAUGGAUGAAAGAAGAGUUUUUUUUAUUGCAAUGGCAAAAAGUGACAUGAAUUCAUGAACAAUAAUGGAAUGGAUUUUCCAUCCUUUUUACAUGAUAUUGGACGAGGAUUCAGUUCUAGUUUCGCGGACGAAACCUAUUUCUAGGAGGGGUGAAUGUAAUACAUUGAACUUCGGCAAACUAGGAAUCUGAGGGUUGGAAUAGUGAUUGGAACUCUUCUACAACUUUUGUAGGAUUGUUGAGAGGCUUCAGCAAAUNAGGUAUGUCGCAUGACAUGUGAAUCAUUGUUAGUUAUCUUGGGCAUAUGGGCAGAUUGAUGAUAUCCUAGCCCUUUCGUGUGUACUGUUCGGCCAUUUGGAAGCACGACUCUUUUUUGUGGUGGAUUCCACAUUUUCUGAAAAAAAUUUCGAUUGGCUCAUGACCUUCUUAUAGAAAAUCCCGAUCUAUUUAUCAUGUCUUUGAGAUUUUUCGGAAAGUAUUUUGGCAUGACAUCUUCAUAUAUUUCCUCAUCAGAGUUAUCAAGUUUGAUAAGAUCAGAGGGUUUAUAAUCAUUUGACUUGUAAAAAAGGAUCCCUUUCUUUAUUCUUUCUUUUUCUUUGACUUUCUCAACUUGAGGAGGUACAAAGAAGGUUUUUAAAUCAUUCACUUUUGUUGGCUCACUUAUGUGAAGAGAUUUUAUAUGUCCAUAUGGAACUCUAGUAAUAUUUAAGGAAUCUUCAAUUAAUUCAGGAAUUCUUAUGAACAUAUUUGACUCAGAUGUCGGGAAAAUCUCUUCAUCUUCUGAUGAGUCUUCACCCCAGGGCAUGUUUAACUUGAAAGAAAAUGUUUCCAACAUUUUCCUUAAUUGUUCUUCAUCACUUUCGAAGUGUGGAAUCACAUUUUCUUUAUUAUUCUCAAUUUUUAUCUUUCCCUUUGACAAAUUUUUAUCGCUCUGAACUUUACCCUCUUCAAGUUCGCGAGACAAUUUUAUAUCUUUUUCAGAUUCUGCGAAAUACCUCGCAUCUUCAUAUCGUACUUCAUGCACUCCAAAUGGGCGUAUAUCACCAUCAAUUCUGACUUCUUCUCCAUCCUUAAUAUAUUUCAUACAUUGAUGAAGAGUAGAGGGGACAACGUUAUACUCGUGCAACCAAGGCCGUCCCAAUAACGUUUAUACAAAGUAUCUGCAUUUAUCACAUAGAAUUUUACAUCGGUCCGCAAUGCUCCAAAUUUUAUAGGAAGAAUGAUCGACCCGAGAGCUUUUUGGCUAUGCUGAUUAAAGCCUUGAAUCAAAAUUUUUUCUGAGGACAGAUGAUCGACAUUCAGAGCUAAACUUUUCAAAGUUCUUAAAGUCAAAAUGUUGACUGAGGAUCCAGGAUCGAUUAGAAUACGAUUAAUCUUCUCUCCAUCGCUUGUCCCAGUCACAUAUAACGGCCUGUUGUGAUGAGCAGUUCCCAACAGCAUGUCCUCAUCAGUGAAAGUAACAUUGGCGAUAUGUCUGGAGUACAAUGCUUCUUUCAUAUUCAUCUCAGCAAAAUAAGCAUAAAAGGGCUCGGGGUUUUGUAAAGCGUAAAUGAGUACAUCCCGAAGUUCUCUGGACAUCAUCAGGGCGUCAUACACACUCAACAAGGCUGGCACUUUUCUUAAAUGGGAAAGUAUGUUAUACUCAAUCUUUGAUAACUUUCCUUGAUUUGAUGAAGUCGGUGCCUCUUCAUUUAUCUGAAUUUCUUUAUCUUUACCAUUUUGCGGCUGCCCUUGUCUUUCUGGUAACACCUUUCCAGACUUAAGCUUAAUUUGGAAAGAAUCCUCAGCUCGUUCAUCUUCCUUGGUAUUAGAGUCGACACCACAGGUAAUAGUUUGGCACGUUUCGACUCUAGUCUUUUCAUAAGUAUUCAACUUAUCAAGUAUCUCUUUUAAUUGCUCUUUCAUAUUUUUUAUUGCCAUAGCCACACAGUCUAUGUUUGUUGCUAGAGUGCGUACAUCAAUCUGCACUCUCCUCAAAUCAUUGUCUAUCUCGAGAAGACGAUAUUCGACUCUCCUUGCGUCGUUAUCCCUGCUGGGAGUAUUAUAUGCUCUCCAGGCACUAUCGCUAUCUUCACAUGCCACAGUUGGUUGUCUAACCAUAUUCCUUUGAUUUACAGAGUCUUCAGAUUGCUCUUCGGAGAUUGUUAUUACCCGACAUGACUCCUUGAGCUGUAAUUUAUUUUUUCUAUGGUCCCGAAGUUUCACGCAUACAUCAUAAGCAUGACCUCUCAUUCCACACCAAAAGCAACGCAAUUUCAUAUCAUCCAAAGCGUCAUAACAUGCUUUUCUGAAUUCUUCUGGAGUAAUGGAUUGCUGUUUCUCAAAUCGUGGGAGAUGUUUCUUCCAUCGUUGUCUUUUGGAUUCAGCAAUAGUCGGUUGAUCAAUUUUUGACUUCACCUUGUUCAUAGGUAAGUUCUGCAUCUUUUUCCAUUGGCGGCAAUUUUCCAAGGUGUGUCCCCAUAUGUUAUGAUAGGUACAGAACUCUGUCAGCAUAACUUUAUUCUUUUUUUCGUUAUUCUCCUUAACCAGAGCUUUAUUAUUUUGGUGAACUUCUGAUUGCUGGUUUAGGGUUGUAUUCUUCUUCUUUUUUAGUGAAGAUGACCCCGCAUUUCCUCUCAUCGACAGUCUUUUAAGCUCUUGAGCAAUUAUGUGUGCUUCAUAGAAACUUGCGUCGUAUUCGGCUUUUGUUGACUUUGAUUGCUCCGAGCCUUGCUUCUUAUCAUCUUCCUUUAAAUCAGCUUGCAUAGUUAUGACUCGAUAGGUCUCGACCCGAUAUCUUUUCGAUGCUUCAGUAACAUCGGUUUUGAGCAUAUCUAUGAUAGCUCUCAUUUGAAAAUCUAUGCCUUUUACACUACCGAUUAUUUCGUUCAUGUUCAUCUUUAUAACGUUAAUUUCAUUGUGCAGCCUCCUCAUUUCUCCCUCCAUUAUGAUUAAGCGACACUCCAUUCUAUACAAUUUCUUCAUUGGAUCAUGAUAAGCUGAAGUGUCGUAUAAUUCCAAAGGAUCAACAUAAGCAUUAUAGUUUGGUGUGGAUGUCUGUUGAUUUGCUCUCAGGGUCGGCGCAGGUCUUUCUAGCACGUCAUCAGAUGUCGUAAUGACACGACAUGAUUCCCGUAUGUAAGGAAUAGUCUUGUGCUUAUUUUUCUUCUGGAUUUUCAAAGUGGUGCUUCUGACACUUUGCCUUAUACUUGCCCCUUGAGGAAAUUGCCCUUUUGGUCUUUUUAUAUGUUGAAAAGUACGACAGUUUUCUAGGUUAUGUCCUUUUACUUGAUGAAAAGGGCAAUACAUAGGUGUAUUUUUGCUGCCAGAAGAUUGAGGAUUAACGCCUCCCGUCGGCGCCGUUCUCGAACAUUUCCCUUUGUUAAAUUUUUUAUUGACUCCACCCUUAUUUUUGGUUUCUACAAGGGGAGCUUUUCCUUCAUCUUUUUGAGAAGUUUCAGGUGAAAGCUGUUUUGAAGAUCGACUUGUAGACCUUGGUAAUAUUUCGAUAUCCCGUUCUCUGUUCUUUUGCAAUUGGGUCUGUUGAGGGAUGGGAGUACUCUUCAUUAAUUGUUCUACUCUAGCUUCGAUCCCAAUCAACAUAGAGAAUAUUACAUUCAUUUGUGCUUUCAUAUCCAAUAUUUUAUCAUUCACCUUGUGAUAGUUGCAAUGCGUCAUUUCUUUUAUUUCUGCCAAUUGGUUAUGAACUUCUCUGAGGUUCCUUUCUCGUUCGCUAAAGUGGCUAGAAGGAAAGAUCAUUUCUUCAUCAUCACGUUGUGCGGUGAUGACUCUGCAAGUUUCUCCCCAAAAAGGCUCCUAUUUUUCUUUACACUCCUCGACAGGAAUUUCUCUUUCAUCAGAGUCCUUCUUUUUCUUAGCCUAUUCUAUUGCUUUAAAAAUAAAAUCAUGAAUCAUAAGAGGCUCUCUUUCAACUUGUUUAUAUUCUUCCAGUGAGUCAAUAUGCUCCUCAAUAGGCCGCUUCUUAUGUUGUGGUUGAGCCGGCUCAACAAAUUUUUUUAUUCUUCUUAACCCGAGUUAUUCUGCGCCUUGACUUGGCUGAAGUAUUAAUUGGAGGUGUGGGCUUAUCCCCAGAUUCCACUUCUGGGUUUAAGGGGCCUCGCCAUUUUAUUCCCGGAACAUCUUAUAAAUAUUUUAACAUCUUCCGAGUUUUCUUAUAUAAAAAUAUAUUCCGAAACUCGGGGAAAAAUACAUUCUCAAUUUCUUCCAUAUUUUUUGUAUCAAUCAGAUUGGCCUUUUCGACUGGGGCUUCUGAUAACACUGAUUGUGAAAGAGUGAUUGCACCGCUUCUAUAUUGCUUUUCAACCCAGUCUUUGAAAACCCAUCAGUCUUCAAUUGGAUGGCUAAUUAAUCUAUGAUAUAGGCAAUUGUUCGGAUCACCGGUUUUCCCUAUAUCCUCUGGCUUCUUUGGCUCCGGCAGUUGAAGACCAUUUUUAACAGCAUCGUUAAAUAUUUUCUUAACUUUGUCCCGUUUGAAAGGGUAUACUUUGUUUCUUCGCUCCUCUAAAGAAAUCCCUUUUGGAUUAUUACCCCCUAACACAGGUUUUACAGGGGUCUGUUCAACUGUAGAGGUAAUUGCCUUCUUUUCUUUUUCUAUCAUAUUCGUGCGGGCCGGUCUAACCUGCGCCAACUUCGCCUCAACUCUUUUGUUAUCAUCUUUUUUUAUCUUUUGUAAGUUUAAGAGGACCUGGGGAUCGAUUCUCUCCAAUCUAGAGAUAUUUGAUAUUAAUUCAUGAAAAGUGGAACAACUAGAUGUGCACAGAAAAGGGGCCAUCCAAUUAUCAAUAUUGCCCAUGACAAGACCAACAGCUUGAGACUGGUCUAGAGGUUGUUCACACCUUAUAUUUAAGUUCCGCCACCUUGUAAUGUAAUCUAGCAUUGUUUCAUCUUUUCUUCGUCUGGUAGCUACCAGAUCAGCGAUAGUAAUAUUAUCGCUAACGGUGGCGAAUUUUGCUCUGAAAGCUUCUUCCAUGUCGGGCCAGGUUUUAAUGGACUCAUCUUCGAGGGAGUAGUACCAUUCAAAAGCUAUACCUGACAAACUUUGUGAAAAUUGUCGCAAGAGUAGAGGUCCUUUACUCCCCGUAUUUUCACACAUAGCCUUAAAAUGUGCUAGAUGCUGAUCAAGGUUACCAACACCAUAGAACAUUUUGAACUUAGGGACCUGAUACCCUUCUGGAAAAGGUACGUUAUCGUAUUCCGAUAGAUAAGAAUGUCCUUUCCCUUUCGGUUUUGGAGUUGCCCCCGCUACCGUCUCUUUAACUUGUGAAGUGAUCAAAUCAUGAAUUUCUUCCUUAGUUAAAGAGGUAGUCUCUUUAAGAACAGUUGUUUUAGCCUGUUCAUCAAUGACUCGUGGUAUGUGUGCUUCCGGCUGGGUUAGAAUCUUGGUUUGACGUCGUUGAUCCUCCAAUUGCUUCUAUACAUUUAACAUCAAACUCAUGACCUCCUCCAUCUUCUUAUAGAGAUUUAUGAUAUCUCUAUCCUUUUCAUCAACUUUCUUUUUUAAGGACGCAAUCAUAACGUCCUUUGGAUCCCUCGGGAAGCAGACAACCUCCUCUUCCUCUCGUGGGUCAGAUGGAUCACUAGGCAUAUCAUCUUUAUUCUCCAUAUUUUGUGUUUGCGAAGAGCUUGCUUCCUCAGCUCUUGCUUUCUCUUCCGCGGCUUUUCUUGCAGCAGCUCUCGUAAGAAUUUGCUGAAUAGUUUCUUCUUCAUCAACCGACUCACUUGACGACGUAUGCCCAAUAACUCUUACUGUGUGAAUCUCCAAAUUCUUUACUUUACAUUUUUCUUCUUUGAUCUGAGCAAGAGUUUUGGGCUUCCACUCUGUCUUUCUUCCUUCCCAUGAUAGUGUUGACUUUCGCUGCCACUUCGACUUCUCAAUUUUCUUCUCUAGGCUCAUUCUUCCUUUUGUAGCCUUAAAAGUUUUAUAUAUCUGCUUGAAGACAGAGUUCUUAUCAUUGUUUCUUAAGCAGGGACGUGCAAAAGAUGGUUUUAAAUGGGCCAUUUCUGACUCUGGGCGCAGAAUGGCAGUAGGUGAAUUUUUCUUCAUUACGGGCCAAAACAUCGGGCCCGGCGACAAACCUAUUAUGUUGGGUUUGUUGGGACUUGUUUCCUUUGUUCAUCUCCUGCCGCUUCAAAGUACGACGAAGAUUUCUCUUGAAUGACUUGGUCACAGUGUCCUUGGGGAACGUCAGCCUAUUGAAGACUGACGCUUUAGGCUCCAUAUCAAGUAGCGAUGUUCCGUCAAUUCGGUUUUGGAACACCAGUCUUCCUUGUAAUUCCAUCUUCUUUGAAGCGCUGAUAGGUGUCAUCCUCUCCUUCACAGGAACGCGAGGGGGGUUGGGAAUGACGACAUUCGGACGCCUCCCACGAGAGGGAAGUCGUGGAACCACAACAUUAACAUCAUUUGUGCUAGUAACAGUAGUGAAAGAGGCCAUAGCCGCAGCCCUAGCCUCUUCUGGGAUGGUACCGAACUGGAUCGCAACACCAGCAGCUCCAAUGGUGAGGACAGAUGUCGGUAGGCAAACCUGACCUGCAUUGAUCAUCAUCGAGCCUGUGGCAACAGCAGUGUUAUUCGGUGACAUUUCUCCUGUAAGGGAAUAACGAGUGUCAAUUAGAUAUCUAUCAUCUAAUUCUAUUAACAUAACAUUGGUCUCAAAGAUGGAAGGAGAAGUCAUGUCCACCGGGCGUGCCAUUUUGUCUGCGACCACGAAUGACGCACCUCGCACGGUUGAUCUUAUUUUGAUUUUUCCCGUGGGAUAGUAUUCAUGAUUCAGAUUAAUAUUUAAUUAUAUAUAUAUAUAUGGCUAUCAGGUAUUGUGGAUUCAUGGCUUCCAAUAAACGCAAGCGUCUAUUGUUAAUUACUCCUACAAAGUGUUAGGGCACCUUCGAUUAAGAGACCUCUGUAAUGCUGAAAUAGACUGAAAUAAAAAGUGGAUUUUAUAACAUAAUCCAUUGUAUAGUUACAUGGCUUAACCAGGGGCAUACCCCCAGUGUACAUGAAUGAAUAUGACGGUUGAUUGAACUUGAUUCUGAAUCAAAGUGUAUGAUCAAAUUGAUUUGAUUGGGCUCUAUAUGUUUCAGUGCUCAACAAUAUUGUUCACCCUAAGGUGAGGGAUUGAUUAAAUUCCAUGUAUAUGCAUUGGGACUUAAUCGGAUUUGAUUCAAAUUAAACCCUAGUUAGGUGCAUUAGAGUUUGAUUUGAUUAAAUUGAUUUAAGCUUUCAUCCUAAAUGUAUGUGUUAGGAUUAGCCCAAAUAUUUCGAAUUAGACUCUAAUUUUAUAUCUUAGAGUCUAGUGUAAUUAAGCUCUAUGCUUAUAUGUUAGAGCUUAAUUAUGUCUCACAUUGAGUUCACCAUAAGGUGAAAUAUUAACUAAAUCCUAAUUAUAUAUAUUAGGAUUAGUCAAAAUUUGAUUUAAAUUAAACUCCAAGUGUAUGUAUUAGAGUCUAAUUCAAUUUCAUUUGGGUUCACCAUGAGGUGAAAUAUCAACUAAAUCCUAAUUAUAUAUAUUAGGAUUAGUGAAAUUUGAUUUAAAUUAAACUCUAAGUGUAUGUAUUAGAGUCUAAUUCAAUUUCAUUUGGGUUCACCAUGAGGUGAAAUAUCAACUAAAUCCUAAUUAUAUAUAUUAGGAUUAGUGAAAUUUGAUUUAAAUUAAACUCUAAGUGUAUGUAUUAGAGUCUAAUUCAAUUUCAUUUGGGUUCACCAUGAGGUGAAAUAUCAACUAAAUCCUAAUUAUAUAUAUUAGGAUUAGUGAAAUUUGAUUUAAAUUAAACUCUAAGUGUAUGUAUUAGAGUCUAAUUCAAUUUCAUUUGGGUUCACCAUGAGGUGAAAUAUCAACUAAAUCCUAAUUAUAUAUAUUAGGAUUAGUCAAAAUUUAAAUUAAACUCUAAGUGUAUGUAUUAGAGUCUAAAUCAACUAAAUCCUAAUUAUAUAUUAGGAUUAGUCAAAUAUAAUUUAAAUUAAACUCUAAGUGUAUGUAUUAGAGUCUAAUUUGGGUUCACCAUGAGGUGAAAUAUCAACUAAAUCCUGGUUAUAUAUAUUAGGAUUAGUCAAAUGUAAUUUAAAUUAAACUCUAAGUGUAUGUAUUAGAGUCUAAUUCAAUUUCAUUUAUUUGAACUCUAAGUAAGUGUAUUAGAGUUCAAUUGAACUGAUUAGGUGAAACCUAAUAGAUGGUUUGAUCAAUUCUAAACAAAUAUUUUAGAAUUUGAUCUAAUAUGAAUGUGAUAACAAUAUGACUCUAGCUUAAUAUGCUAGAGAAUUGGAUUAAAAAGAUUUGCCCUUAACAAAUUGGUAGAGCUUGGUUUCAUAUUUGAUCUGAUAGGCAUGAUUUAAGGUCUUGGUUUGGGUUAGAUUUUUGGGUUUGAUGUUGGUCUGAAUUGGUUUUCAAUUUAGAUUUUAUUCGAUUUGGGCAUUUUUAUGAACCAGUUUGGAAUUCAAACUUGGGCUAGGUAUAGCUUCAAGUUAUGGUUCAAUUCUCGGAUGGAUUCAUUCAUGGUCCAAAUUUGGGUCCAUAUAGUUGCAUUCAAACAUGGACUAGAUCCAGGCCUACAUGGUAUGGACUCAAGUUGAGGCCUGAAUUAAAUUUUAAGUUCUGGAUAUAGGCAUAGGCCCAGUUUAGACCCGUUUAAUAUGGAUUCAGGUUGAGGCUUGAAUUGGGUUCGGGCUCACUUUAGGCCCGUAUGGUUUAAGCCCAUAUUUUCUUUAGGCAAGCUAUAGAAUUGGGCCCAGAUUUAUAUUUGGGCUGAACUUGGGUCAUAUUGAGCUUGGGUUAUGAGAUUUGAGGUGGGUACGGGCUUGUUCCAGAUGAGAUUUUGAGAUGGGAAUUAUUUAGGAUUUGUUUGAGAUCAAAAUAUUUAAAUUUAUGGUUCAGAAUCAAAUUCAUCACUUAAAAAAUUUCGAAUGCAUUUUUUUUAUUUGUCAGAUUUUCAGUCAUAAAUCACAUAAAAUGUCUAAUGCAAUUAAAUCUCAAUUUGGUCUAAUUUGACCAAAUCGAAAGAUUUGACUUUGGAUAGAAUCAAAGAGUUCGAUUAUUUUCGAACACUACAUUGUUCUUCCAAUAAAAGGACGAUCAAAAGAAUAUUAAUCGGUAAUCCGACUAAUUUUCUUUUGUCUCCUCAUUGUAGGAGAAUUAAGAGAACACAAUUUUUCCCUUUAUCUCUUUUGAAAAUAUAAGACAACAAAGACAGAUAAUUCUUCUUUUGUCUCUUUUACAUUCAUGGGACAACUAAGGUGAAAAAAUCCCUUCCUUGCCUCCUUUUUGUAACAAAGCUCCCUCUCUCUUUCGUAAUUAGAGAAGUAAUUUCUUUCUCUCUCUCUUUUAAUAAUAUACUUUUUUUUGCAAAGACAAGAGCACCGCUCUUUCCCUCUUUCGAUGAUACUAUAUUUUUUGUAAAGAGAAGAGCACCGCUCUUUCUCUUUUAAUAACACAUUUUUUUUUUUUAAAAGAGAAGAGCACCGCUCUUUCUCUAAGUUCGCUGUUGAAAGAUAUGUCUCGGACAUUCCGUCAAAUAAUUGGUAGACAUGAUUCGUUGGCGCCAACUCCGUCAGAGCAAUAUCCUAGGCAGCUUGGUAGGCGGCGAGGCUGAUGCCGUUGCUGACGAGCCUGCUGAGAUUGGUUUGCGCGUUUGCGAGUGGCGAACCGUCGACGUCCGGGAACUCAUCGAACGAGUCCUGGCAGGUGUCAACGAAAGUGCCGGCGGCCAAGAGCUCGCUGUUGGCGUUCUCGGGCCGCCCGCCGCCGCGCACCAAUCGUCGGCCCAUUCUACAGCGCAUCCGCCGCCUGCGCGUGCUCCACCUUGAGCGUCGCAGCCUGGAGUGACGCCGCGGCUCAUUGUGGACACAGAUAAAACACCUGGUGAGCGGAAGGGGUGAAGCAGGAGAGGAGCAUGAUGAGGAAGAAGGCGUCGACCGCCACACUCGGUUGCUGGAGAAAGAGGGUGACGUCGAGGAGGAAAGUGCCGACCGCCAUGUUCGGCCGUUGGAGGAAGAGGAUGACGACGAGGUAGCGGGCGGUUUCGGCGAACGCCUGGUCGAAGCGAGGAGCUCGCGGUAGACGGUGUAGAUAUAGGGGAUACGGUUGAGGCCGUCGCGGACGGCGCUGACGACGACGCACUCGGCGGCGGCGUAGUAGGCGGCCUUCUCGAAGGUCGACACGAGGGUGGUCGACGAGGACGAUGGGGUCGUAGCCGUGGCCAUGGCGAGGAGCUUGAGGCCGAUGCCCUUGAAGAGGUCGACGUCACCGACCCCGAGGAGGACGAUGCGGUCCUUGAAGCCGAGGGAGAGGUCGCGGAGCGUAGCGAGGGCCUCGGGCGCAGCGACCACGAAGCGGUGUUGGGCCACGUCGACGCCGACGGGAGGAAUCUUGACGGUGACCUGUGCGGAGACGAGUGUGGCGUCGAGGCCGGAGGUGAGCGAUGCACACGCCGGUCGGUCGUAGAGUUCGGGGCGUAGCCGAGGCGGCGAAUGGCCUCGCCCUGCUCAUCCGGCGAAGACGUGUGGUCGAGAUCGAGGGGGAGCUGGUCAGCGUCUGUGGAUCUCCACAGAGCUGUCGGCGGGUAUCGAACUACAAGUCGAAGACCCCACGCGCCUCCGCACGCCUCCAGAGGAUUCCUGCUGCUCCAAUUGCGGCUCGGAGCGGAAGAUGCUGCGGAAGCGCGCCCGCCCAUAGGAUGCGGAAGUCUGUCGUUGCCGCGGCGGCAAUCGGUGUUUGGAAUUGGGCUGGCGCCACUGGCGGAAUGGAAAGGGUUUAGGGAGCGGGAUCGGAAGGAAGAACGAGGUUUUUUUUUUUCUUUGAUUGAGGUCGGAUAUACAGAGUUCUUUUUUUUCGUUUUUUUUUUUUUUUUAGAGGGAGAGAGAGCUUGUAGCUGGCAACUAUAUUGAGAAUAGAAAAAAAUUUUUUUUUUUUUUUUUACCUUUCUUCUUUCUUUCGUAGAAAUGGAGUAGUAUAAUUUCUUUUUUUAGAAAUGGGUUUGAGAGUUUCAAGAAAACACUGUGUCUCUCUUUCUCAUUGAGAGAUAUUUAUGGGAUUAGUCGUAACUAUCCUGGAGAACGUGCGUAUGGUGCGUGCGUAUGGGAGAGGUGGGAAGUUACGGUAUAGGAUCAUGGGAUCAUGGGUAUGAAAUUGCACAUUAACCCUUCUUAUUUGUUUAUAUUAUACUUUUUUAUAAUAAAAUAUUUAUGUGUUUGAAGUGGAGCAAAUAUGUGAAAGGGAAAGGACUAAUUUGCUAUUUGUAAUACUCAUUCAUGCCUACGAGAACAUCCCACUUUUUUUGUAAUAUAUGCACCUGGUGCAUGGAUUAACCUAUGCACCAGGUUCAAAAUUUGAACUCAAAUUUCUCCAUGCACCUAGUGCAUGGAUCAUCUCAUACACCAUUAUUCAAUUUUCUCUCCUUCUGCCUUUUUUCUUUCUCCUUUUUUUUUUUUUUCUUCUUCUUCUUCUUCCUCUUUUUUUUUAUGCUUCAACAGUUCCCUUGAAGCUUUGGGGUUCAGGGACGCGGACCUUUGGGGUGUACUCCUUCUGCGUUUCACCGCCUCGAGCCAUCGCCUUCUCAAGGAUAGUCACUCUCGUCUUGAGGUCCUCGACCUCGUCGACUCGAGUGACUAGCUCCUCGAUCAAGUUCUUCCGCUCCUCGUCACAACGGGUGAUGUUGCCUUGGAGCUUCUCGAGCUCGCCUCGAAAGGUCGCCAUGGCAGUGGCGACGCUCUCCUCCAUACUGCGAAUAUUAUCAUUAAAGGCAUUAAAGGUAUCGGCCAUCUCGGUGUACCUUUCUCCCACCUUCGAUAGAAUGUCCUCCAACAGUGCAAGGCGGUCCUCGACCGACGCGGAAUCCUUCGUGAUUCGCGUGUCCUUGCCCUUGCUCCACUUGGAGGGUUGCUUGGAGGGUUCACCCCCAACGUCGUCAGCACCGGCCUCUGAUGACGACAUGGCUCCUUCUCAAACCGGCUCUGAUACCAACUGUCACAGACUUAACGGUUUGGUAAGCAAAAUCCGUGCGGCGCUCACCUUCCUUCGCGAAGUGAGCAAGCCUGUCUCUCUACUUGCUAAGUUAGGACCUCACUCGCCCUAAACUAAGUACAAGAGAGAGAUAUGAAGAAAGCUCUUCUAUUACUUUAAAUUUGAGAAUACAAUAUGAAAUUCUGAAAUGAGAGGGGGUGGAGGCCACACUAUUUAUA